UUGCGGCCCCAAGUCAGGCGAGACCACCCGCCGAGUUU
rnacentral:rRNA from 1 species